GACGAACGCUGGCGGCGUGCUUAACACAUGCAAGUCGAACGGUAAGGCCCUUCGGGGUACACGAGUGGCGAACGGGUGAGUAACACGUGGGUGAUCUGCCCUGGACUUCGGGAUAAGCCUGGGAAACUGGGUCUAAUACCGGAUAGGACCACUGCCUGCAUGGGUGGUGGUGGAAAGCUUUUGCGGUGUGGGAUGGGCCCGCGGCCUAUCAGCUUGUUGGUGGGGUGAUGGCGUACCAAGGCGACGACGGGGAGCCGGCCUGGGAGGGUGACCAGCCAGACUGGGACUGAGAGACGGCGCAGACUCCUUCGGGAGGCAGCAGUGGGGAAUAUUGCACAAUGGGCGCAAGCCUGAUGCAGCGACGCUGCGUGAGGGAUGACGGCCUUCGGGUUGUAAACCUCUUUCAGCACCGACGAAGCGCAAGUGACGGUAGGCGCAGAAGAAGGACCGGCCAACUACGUGCCAGCCGCCGCAGUAA
rnacentral:rRNA from 1 species